rnacentral:rRNA from 1 species
GAUGAACGCUGGCGGCGUGCCUAAUACAUGCAAGUCGAGCGAACAGACGAGGAGCUUGCUCCUCUGACGUUAGCGGCGGACGGGUGAGUAACACGUGGAUAACCUACCUAUAAGACUGGGAUAACUUCGGGAAACCGGAGCUAAUACCGGAUAAUAUAUUGAACCGCAUGGUUCAAUAGUGAAAGACGGUUUUGCUGUCACUUAUAGAUUGAUCCGCGCCGCAUUAGCUAGUUGGUAAGGUAACGGCUUACCAAGGCAACGAUGCGUAGCCGACCUGAGAGGGGGAUCGGCCAAACUGGAACUGAGACACGGUCCAGACUCCUACGGGAGGCAGCAGUAGGGAAUCUUCCGCAAUGGGCGAAAGCAUGACGGAGCAACGCCGCGUGAGUGAUGAAGGUCUUCGGAUCGUAAAACUCUGUUAUUAGGGAAGAACAAAUGUGUAAGUAACUAUGCACGUCUUGACGGUACCUAAUCAGAAAGCCACGGCUAACUACGUG